ensembl:piRNA 21ur-9098 ncRNA
UUUGGACAGUCUUGUGUCAAA